UGGUCACCGAAGGGAUCUUCACCCGGCAGAUCCUCGACGAUCCGGAAUUGAACGGCGUUGCCGCCGUAUUGUUCGACGAAUUUCAUGAGCGCUCGCUGGAUGCUGACCUUGGCCUUGCGCUGGCGCGAGACGNNUGCGCGAGGAUCUGCGCAUUCUGGUGAUGUCCGCGACGCUCGAUGGCGCGCGGGUCGCUAAACUGCUCGGCGAUUGUCCGGUGAUCGCCAGCGAAGGCCGCGCGUUUCCGGUC
rnacentral:misc_RNA from 1 species